ACGCUGGCGGCGCGUCUUAAACAUGCAAGUCGAACGAUCUGUAGCAAUACAGGGAGUGGCGGACGGGUGAGGAACACGUAGGAAUCUACCUUGAAGAGCGGGACAACUUUGGGAAACCGGGGCUAAUACCGCAUAGUACAGAGAUGUUAAAGGGCUAGCAAUAGUCGCUUCGAGAUGAGCCUGCGGUCUAUCAGCUUGUUGGUGAGGUAAUGGCUCACCAAGGCUACGACGGAUAGCCGGUCUGAGAGGAUGAUCGGCCACACUGGCACUGAGACACGGGCCAGACUCCUACGGGAGGCAGCAGUUAAGAAUCUUGCGCAAGUGGGGGAAACCCUGACGCAGCGACGCCGCGUGAAGGAUGAAGGCUUUCGGGUUGUAAACUUCGGUAGACUGGGAAGAAGAAAUACGUUCGUUGAGGGCGUAUAGUGACGGUACCAGUCUGAAGCCCCGGCUAAUUACGUG
rnacentral:rRNA from 1 species